rnacentral:rRNA from 1 species
AUACGGAGGGGGUUAGCGUUGUUCGGAAUUACUGGGCGUAAAGCGCACGUAGGCGGAUUAGUAAGUUAGAGGUGAAAUCCCAGGGCUCAACCCUGGAACUGCCUUUAAUACUGCUAGUCUUGAGUUCGAGAGAGGUAAGUGGAAUUCCGAGUGUAGAGGUGAAAUUCGUAGAUAUUCGGAGGAACACCAGUGGCGAAGGCGGCUUACUGGCUCGAUACUGACGCUGAGGUGCGAAAGUGUGGGGAGCAAACAGGAUUAGAUACCCUGGUAGUCCACGCCGUAAACGAUGUCAACUAGCCGUUGGGAGGGUAAUCCUUUUAGUGGCGCAGCUAACGCUCUAAGUUGACCGCCUGGGGAGUACGGUCGCAAGAUUAAAACUCAAAUGAAUUGACGGGGGCCCGCACAAGCGGUGGAGCAUGUGGUUUAAUUCGACGCAACGCGAAGAACCUUACCUGGUCUUGACAUCCUGCGAACUUUCUAGAGAUAGAUUGGUGCCUUCGGGGAACGCAGUGACAGGUGCUGCAUGGC